rnacentral:rRNA from 1 species
GAACCUUACCUGGGCUCGAACGGCUGGUCAACGGAGGUGGAAACAUCUUUACCCCGCAAGGGGGUCCAGUCGAGGUGCUGCAUGGCUGUCGUCAGCUCGUGUCGUGAGAUGUUGGGUUAAGUCCCGCAACGAGCGCAACCCUUGUCCUGUGUUGCCAUCAUUCAGUUGGGAACUCGCAGGAGACCGCCAGCGAUAAGCUGGAGGAAGGUGGGGAUGACGUCAAGUCCUCAUGGCCUUUAUGUCCAGGGCUACACACGUGCUACAAUGGCCGGUACAAACCGCAGCAAACCCGCAAGGGGGAGCCAAUCGGAAAAAACCGGUCUCAGUCCGGAUUGCAGGCUGCAACUCGCCUGCAUGAAGCUGGAAUCGCUAGUAAUGGCAGAUCAGCACGCUGCCGUGAAUACGUUCCCGGGCCUUGUCACACCGA